rnacentral:rRNA from 1 species
UGGCAGUCGACGAGACCUUCGGGUCUAGUGGCGCACGGGUGCGUAACGCGUGGGAACCUGCCUUUAGGUUCGGAAUAACUCAGAGAAAUUUGAGCUAAUACCGGAUAAUGUCUUCGGACCAAAGAUUUAUCGCCUUUAGAUGGGCCCGCGUUGGAUUAGCUAGUUGGUGGGGUAAAGGCCUACCAAGGCGACGAUCCAUAGCUGGUCUGAGAGGAUGAUCAGCCACACUGGGACUGAGACACGGCCCAGACUCCUACGGGAGGCAGCAGUGGGGAAUAUUGGACAAUGGGCGAAAGCCUGAUCCAGCAAUGCCGCGUGAGUGAUGAAGGCCUUAGGGUUGUAAAGCUCUUUUACCAGGGAUGAUAAUGACAGUACCUGGAGAAUAAGCUCCGGCUAACUCCGUGCCAGCAGCCGCGGUAAUACGGAGGGAGCUAGCGUUGUUCGGAAUUACUGGGCGUAAAGCGCACGUAGGCGGCUUUUUAAGUCAGGGGUGAAAUCCCGGGGCUCAACCCCGGAACUGCCCUUGAAACUGGGAAGCUAGAAUCUUGGAGAGGCGAGUGGAAUUCCGAGUGUAGAGGUGAAAUUCGUAGAUAUUCGGAAGAACACCAGUGGCGAAGGCGACUCGCUGGACAAGUAUUGACGCUG